CGACGGCAGCACGGGAGCAAUCCUGGUGGCGAGUGGCGAACGGGUGAGUAAUGUAUCGGAACGUACCUUUCAGUGGGGGAUAACGUAGCGAAAGUUACGCUAAUACCGCAUAUUCUGUGAGCAGGAAAGCAGGGGAUCGCAAGACCUUGCGCUGAUUGAGCGGCCGAUAUCAGAUUAGCUAGUUGGUGAGGUAAAGGCUCACCAAGGCGACGAUCUGUAGCGGGUCUGAGAGGAUGAUCCGCCACACUGGAACUGAGACACGGUCCAGACUCCUACGGGAGGCAGCAGUGGGGAAUUUUGGACAAUGGGGGCAACCCUGAUCCAGCCAUGCCGCGUGAGUGAAGAAGGCCUUCGGGUUGUAAAGCUCUUUCAGCCGGGAAGAAAUCACAUGGGUUAAUACCCUGUGUGGAUGACGGUACCGGAAUAAGAAGCACCGGCUAACUACGUGCCAGCAGCCGCGGUAAUACGUAGGGUGCGAGCGUUAAUCGGAAUUACUGGGCGUAAAGCGUGCGCAGGCGGUUUGUUAAGAUAGGCGUGAAAUCCCCGGGCUCAACCUGGGAACUGCGUUUAUGACUGGCAGGCUAGAGUAUGGCAGAGGGGGGUGGAAUUCCACGUGUAGCAGUGAAAUGCGUAGAGAUGUGGAGGAACACCGAUGGCGAAGGCAGCCCCCUGGGCCAAUACUGACGCUCAUGCAC
rnacentral:rRNA from 1 species